GCGCAGGUGGCCAAAUCCGGUACAGUAAAAGAGGAGUUCUUUUCCUGCGGGAAAAGGCGUGCGGUUGCAGCCCGCAAGAUUAUGGGUUCGAAUCCCAUCCUGCGCU
rnacentral:tRNA from 1 species